GACGAACGCUGGCGGCGUGGAUUAGGCAUGCAAGUCGAACGGUAGGAUACCUUCGGGUAUCUGAGAGUGGCGAACGGGUGAGUAACACGUAGGUGAUCUACCCUCAAGAUUGGGACAACCCAGGGAAACUUGGGCUAAUACCGGAUGAAAGCAGCAGUGAUGUUGUUUGAAAGGUGGCGUAAGCUGCCGUUUGGGGAUGAGCCUGCGCUCUAUUAGUUAGUUGGCGGGGUAAAGGCCCACCAAGGCGAUGAUAGAUAGGCGGCCUUAACGGGUGGUCGCCCACACUGGGAUUGAGAUACGGCCCAGACUCCUACGGGAGGCAGCAGUCGAGAAUAGUCUACAAUGGCCGAAAAGGCUGAUAGUGCGACGCCGCGUGAACGAAGAAGCCCUUCGGGGGUGUAAAGUUCUUUUAUAUGUGAGCAGUGCUUUCUAUGUGAACAGCAUGGGGAAGAGAUAUUAGCAUAUGAAUAAGCGACGGCUAACUCCGUGCCAGCACG
rnacentral:rRNA from 1 species